CACCAUCGGUGCCCCGGGCACGCCGCAUAUCUCGAGCAACUACCUCAGCGUCAAGCUUGUGGCCUGUCGUCUGCCCUAUUCGAAAUUUAGACAGAAGUCUUUGGUAUAUUUAUGACAGCCCAUUUAGGGUCUCAUGUGGUGCGUGUUUGCUGGGAUCGGACGUCGGUUAUGAUAAAUAGAAAUAAUUCGCAUUGGUACACUGAAAUGCUUGUACAGAAUGCUGUUCUCCCCCUGCAUUCUCAGGAAUUAUUGAUCAAUAUAUACAUAUUAUCUC